rnacentral:rRNA from 1 species
GAUGAACGCUGGCGGCGUGCCUAAUACAUGCAAGUCGAGCGAAUGGAUUAAGAGCUUGCUCUUAUGAAGUUAGCGGCGGACGGGUGAGUAACACGUGGGUAACCUGCCCAUAAGACUGGGAUAACUCCGGGAAACCGGGGCUAAUACCGGAUAACAUUUUGAACCGCAUGGGUCGAAAUUGAAAGGCGGCUUCGGCUGUCACUUAUGGAUGGACCCGCGUCGCAUUAGCUAGUUGGGGAGGUAACGGCUCACCAAGGCAACGAUGCGUAGCCGACCUGGAGGGGUGAUCGGCCACACUGGGACUGAGACACGACCCAGACUCCUACGGGAGGCAGCAGUAGGGAAUCUUCCGCAAUGGACGAAAGUCUGACGGAGCAACGCCGCGUGAGUGAUGAAGGCUUUCGGGUCGUAAAACUCUGUUGUUAGGGAAGAACAAGUGCUAGUUGAAUAAGCUGGCACCUUGACGGUACCUAACCAGAAAGCCACGGCUAACUACGUGCCAGCCGCCGCCGUAA